rnacentral:rRNA from 1 species
UACGUAGGGACCAAGCGUUGUUCGGAUUUACUGGGCGUAAAGGGCGCGUAGGCGGCGUGGUAAGUCACUUGUGAAAUCUCUGAGCUUAACUCAGAACGGCCAAGUGAUACUGCUGUGCUAGAGUGCAGAAGGGGCAAUCGGAAUUCUGGUGUAGCGGUGAAAUGCGUAGAUAUCAAGAGGAACACCUGAGGUGAAGACGGGUUGCUGGGCUGACACUGACGCUGAGGCGCGAAGCGUGGGGAGCAAACAGG